GACGAACGCUGGCGGCGUGCUUAACACAUGCAAGUCGAACGGACAGGCCCGGCUCUUGCGGGGUGCUCGAGUGGCGAACGGGUGAGUAACACGUGUGUAACCUGCACUUGACUUUGGGAUAACUCUAGGAAACUGCGGCUAAUACCGGAUAGGAUCUCCUGAUGCACGUUGGGGGAUGGAAAGAUUCGGCGGUGGUGGAUGGUCUCGCGGGUUAUCAGCUUGUUUGUGUGGUAGUGGCGUACAAGGGCUUCGAAGGGUAGCAGGCCUGAGAGGGUGACCGGCCACAUUGGGACUGAGGUACGCCCCAGACUGCAACGGGAGGCAGCAGGGGGGAACAUUGCAGAAUGGGCGGAAGCCUGAUGCAGCAGCGCCGCGUGCGGGAUGACGUCCUUCUGGUUGUAAACCGCUUUCGCCUUUGACAAAGCGUGAGUGACGGUAAUGGGUAAAGAAGCACCGGCUAACUACGUG
rnacentral:rRNA from 1 species